CCUACGGGUGGCAGCAGUGAGGAAUAUUGGGCAAUGGGCGGGAGCCUGAACCAGCCAAGCCGCGUGAGGGAAGAAGGUACAGCGUAUCGUAAACCUCUUUUGUCAGGGAACAAAGGCGGUGACUAGUCCCCGGAUGAGUGUACCUGACGAAAAAGCAUCGGCUAACUCCGUGCCAGCAGCCGCGGUAAUACGGGGGAGGCGGGCGUUAUCCGGAUUUGUUGGGGUGAAAGGGUGCGCAGGCGGCCUGUUAAGUCAGCGGUAAAAGCCCGGGGCUCAACUCGGGCGAGCCGUUGAAACUGGCGGGCUGGAGUUGGAGAGAGGUACGCGGAAUUCGAGGUGUAGCAGUGAAAUGCUUAGAUAUCGGGCAGAACCCCGGUUGCGAAGGCAGCUAACUGGCUCCAAACUGACGCUGAGGCACGAAAGCGUGGGUAUCGAACAGGAUUAGAUACCCCUGUAGUC
rnacentral:rRNA from 1 species